AGCGAACGCUGGCGGCAGGCUUAACACAUGCAAGUCGAGCGGGCCCUUCGGGGUCAGCGGCAGACGGGUGAGUAACACGUGGGAACGUACCCUUUGGUUCGGAAUAACGCUGGGAAACUAGCGCUAAUACCGGAUACGCCCUUUUGGGGAAAGGCUUGCUGCCGAAGGAUCGGCCCGCGUCUGAUUAGCCAGUUGGUGGGGUAAUGGCCUACCAAGGCGACGAUGAGUAGCUGGUCUGAGAGGAUGAUCAGCCACACUGGGACUGAGACACGGCCCAGAGUCGUACGGGAGGCAGCAGUGGGGAAUAUUGGACAAUGGGCGCAAGCCUGAUCCAGCCAUGCCGCGUGAGUGAUGAAGGCCUUAGGGUUGUAAAGCUCUUUUGUCCGGGACGAUAAUGACGGUACCGGAAGAAUAAGCCCCGGCUAACUUCGUG
rnacentral:rRNA from 1 species